CCCUGGCAUCUGUGGACCAUGGUGGCUUUGUGAACCACCAUGGAUCGAGCAGUUAAUUGGGUCAGCAUGCUUCCAAUUUUUUGGGCUUUUUUGAGCUGAUUUUUUUUGGGGAUACCUUUGAGUAUUCAUUCGGGAUCCAUUUUGAGUCUGAUUUGCUUUAAAUUUGAGUUCUUUUAACCUAUGAAUCAGACUCUUUAUAUUGAUGAUCAUCUUUCCUAUAAAAUAUAAGUAAAAGU
rnacentral:lncRNA from 1 species